CCUACGGGAGGCAGCAGUAGGGAAUAUUGCUCAAUGGGGGAAACCCUGAAGCAGCAACGCCGCGUGGAGGAUGAAGGUUUUCGGAUUGUAAAAUCCUUUUGUUAGAGAAGAUAAUGACGGUAUCUAACGAAUAAGCACCGGCUAACUCCGUGCCAGCAGCCGCGGUAAUACGGAGGGUGCAAGCGUUACUCGGAAUCAGUGGGCGUAAAGGGCGCGUAGGCGGGAUAGCAAGUCAGAUGUGAAAUCCUAUGGCUUAACCAUAGAACUGCAUUUGAAACUGUUAUUCUAGAGUAUGGGAGAGGUAGGUGGAAUGCUUGGUGUAGGGGUAAAAUCCGUAGAGAUCAAGAGGAAUACUCAUUGCGAAGGCGACCUGCUAGAACAUAACUGACGCUGAUGCGCGAAAGCGUGGGGAGCAAACAGGAUUAGAUACCCGUGUAGUC
rnacentral:rRNA from 1 species